rnacentral:rRNA from 1 species
GUCCCGGUCGCUGCAUUGGAGAAGGCGCUUAGGCAAAUCCGGGCGCAGGAUUCAAGGGUGUGGCGCGAGCUCCUUCGGGAGCGAAGCAAUUGGAAGUGGUUCCAAGAAAAGCCUCUAAGCUUCAGUCUAACGAUGACCGUACCGCAAACCGACACAGGUGGGCGAGAUGAGUAUUCUAAGGCGCUUGAGAGAACUCGGGAGAAGGAACUCGGCAAAUUGGUACCGUAACUUCGGGAUAAGGUACGCCCUUGUAGCUUGACUGGCCUGCGCCAGGAGGGUGAAGGGGUUGCAAUAAACUGGUGGCUGCGACUGUUUAAUAAAAACACAGCACUCUGCAAACACGAAAGUGGACGUAUAGGGUGUGACGCCUGCCCGGUGCCGGAAGAUUAAAUGAUGGGGUGCAAGCUCUUGAUUGAAGUCCCGGUAAACGGCGGCCGUAACUAUAACGGUCCUAAGGUAGCGAAAUUCCUUGUCGGGUAAGUUCCGACCUGCACGAAUGGCGUAACGAUGGCCACACUGUCUCCUCCCGAGACUCAGCGAAGUUGAAGUGUUUGUGAUGAUGCAAUCUACCCGCGGCUAGACGGAAAGACCCCAUGAACCUUUACUGUAGCUUUGCAUUGGACUUUGAACCGAUCUGUGUAGGAUAGGUGGGAGGCUAUGAAACCGGAACGCUAGUUUCGGUGGAGCCGUCCUUGAAAUACCACCCUGGUUUGUUUGAGGUUCUAACCUUGGCCCGUGAUCCGGGUCGGGGACAGUGCAUGGUAGGCAGUUUGACUGGGGCGGUCUCCUCCCAAAGCGUAACGGAGGAGUACGAAGGUACGCUAGGUACGGUCGGAAAUCGUGCUGAUAGUGCAAUGGCAUAAGCGUGCUUAACUGCGAGACCGACAAGUCGAGCAGGUGCGAAAGCAGGUCAUAGUGAUCCGGUGGUUCUGUAUGGAAGGGCCAUCGCUCAACGGAUAAAAGGUACUCUGGGGAUAACAGGCUGAUACCGCCCAAGAGUUCAUAUCGACGGCGGUGUUUGGCACCUCGAUGUCGGCUCAUCUCAUCCUGGGGCUGUAGCCGGUCCCAAGGGUAUGGCUGUUCGCCAUUUAAAGAGGUACGUGAGCUGGGUUUAAAACGUCGUGAGACAGUUUGGUCCCUAUCUGCCGUGGGCGUUGGAUAUUUGAAGGGGGCUGCUCCUAGUACGAGAGGACCGGAGUGGACGAACCUCUGGUGUACCGGUUGUCACGCCAGUGGCAUCGCCGGGUAGCUAUGUUCGGAAGAGAUAACCGCUGAAAGCAUCUAAGCGGGAAACUCGCCUUAAGAUGAGAUAUCCCUGG